GUGGUUGGUGCUGGGAGGCUGUGUCCAGGCCCUGAGGUUCUGCCUGCAGCCAGGACACCACCAGGGGGGGCCACCGCAGAGGGAACAGCCGGAGGAGGUGACGGAAAACAGAAAUAUCCAGUGUUCAUGGGCGUCCCCGUCCCGGAGCCCAGUCCUCCACGUCCCUCUGGCCCUCGCCCUGGUCAACAGCCUGCUGCUGUGUGUCCUCCAGGAGCCGCUCCCGGACCCCAGCGUCCCCCACAUCCAGGCUCUGCUCUC